rnacentral:rRNA from 1 species
UACGGAGGGGGCUAGCGUUGUUCGGAAUUACUGGGCGUAAAGCGCACGUAGGCGGCUUUGUAAGUUAGAGGUGAAAGCCCGGGGCUCAACUCCGGAAUUGCCUUUAAGACUGCAUCGCUAGAAUUGUGGAGAGGUAAGUGGAAUUCCGAGUGUAGAGGUGAAAUUCGUAGAUAUUCGGAAGAACACCAGUGGCGCAAGGA